UGAACCAGGUCAGUUUCCUUGCAGUCUGAUGAGGAGAAGACACCCUACAUGUAGUUAUCAUCUCUGGACCAGCCCUCUUGCUGUGUGCCUCCAUCAUACUCCCACCUCCAGGCCUUUGCACUUGCUGUUUCCUCUGUCUCAGAUGAUUUCCUCCCAACCGUAUAUGUGAUCUUUUCUCUUGCUUCAUUCCAAUGUCACCUCUUCCCAGAGAUCGUCCAUGACCAACCUAUCAAAAAUGCAACCCCAGCUACUCUGUAUUCCUCUGCUUUAUUCUUCUUCAUAGCAGUUGUCACUACCCAACAUUAUGUUUUUAUUUAUGUAUUCCUUUCUUACCUAUCUCCCAUGUUAGAAUGUAAACUCCCAUCAGGGAAGGGACCUAUUGUCCUAUACCUUUUAUCCCCAGUAACUAAAUCAGUGUCUGGUAGAAAGGAUGCUCAAAUAUUUGUCCAACAACAAAGUAACUUCAGUAUUUGCAGCAUUUUGUGUUUCUGCCUAGAAGCUCCUGUUUCCCUCAUGUACAGCUUGAGUGCAUCUCUAGAAGAUCAGCCAUGGGCAUGGGCCAUUAUUAUGUGGAGGUGGGAGGGCUCCUAGUACUACUUAGCCACCACUUAGCCUAGAACACUCAGCUUUGCUUUGUUUUUUGCGCUUCUGUCAGAACAAGAUAUUCUUCUCUGUUCUGAAAGGAUGGAGCUUAACAUUCUACUCUCUGAUAACAGAUGAAGAAAUGAUGGCCACAGAGGUCACCCCCUCAGCUAUGGCAGAGCUUACAGACCUGGGCAAAUGUCUGAUGAAGCAUGAGGUGGGUAGAAGGAGCAGGUGAUACCUUUACUCCUUGCCCAGGUGGGGAGUCACCUUUUACUUUUCUUGCUCUAUGGUGCUAUCAAGAGUUUUUUGUAAUACUCCUUUGUUACAUAAGUUCCUAGUUCCAAAGGCCCCAGAAAAAAACGAGGGAAAAGGUGCAAUGCCAUGGUGUCUCCCAUACCAACAUAGGCAGGAGCUCUCAGGAAAACACAUAGUAGGCACACUGAUGCAGAUCCCUGGUGUUUAGCCUCCCCAAGCCAGGCCUGAGCUUUGUCUCCAUCCUACACAUACAGGUUUUCUCACAUUUUGAUUUUUUCUUUUUGACUGGCAAUACACAAAAAUAGAGGAAGUAAACUCACUUCUUUUAUUUUUCCUGCUUAGCUAUUUAAAACUCCAGCUCCUAAGCCAGGCAUGGUGGCACACCUGUAGUCCCAGCUAUUCGGGAGGCUUAGAUGGGAGAAUAGCUUGAGCCCAGGAGUUCAAGACCAGCCUGGGCAACAAAACAAACCCAUCUUUAGAGGGGGGAGGAAAAAAAAAAAAAAACCCUCCGGCUCCUGAUGUGUAAUAAUCAUCAGAGAAAAUUGUGCUUCUUUUCCCAUUGUAACUCUUCAUCUUUUCCUGUUUAGGAUGUUUGUACAGCGCUAUUAAUUACAGCCUUCAAUUCCCUGGCCUGGAAAGAUACUCUGUCCUGCCAGAGGACAACCUCACAGCUCUGCUGGCCUCUCCUCAAACAAGUAUGGUUAUUCACCCCUUUUCAACCUGCCCCUCAUGGAAGGUUUGGGUCAUGCAGAUUGACUAAAUCAUUCAGAAGAACUGGGGUGCUGAGGCCUUGAGAGAGGCCCCCUGUGGCCCUAAAGCACAGUUGUCUCCCCAGGUGCUGUCAGGGACACUGCUCGCAGAUGCAGUUACGUGGCUUUUCACCAGUGUGCUGAAAGGCUUACAGAUGCAUGGGCAGCACGACGGGUGCAUGGCUUCCCUGGUCCAUCUGGCCUUCCAGAUAUACGAGGCACUGCGCCCCAGGUACCUGGAGAUAAGAGCUGUAAUGGAGCAAAUCCCUGAAAUACAGAAGGACUCACUGGACCAGUUUGACUGCAAGCUUUUAAACCCCUCCCUGCAGAAAGUGGCUGACAAGCGCCGAAAGGACCAAUUCAAACGCCUCAUUGCUGGUUGCAUUGGGAAACCCUUGGGAGAGCAGUUCCGAAAAGAAGUUCACAUCAAGAAUCUUCCCUCACUUUUCAAAAAAACAAAGCCAAUGCUGGAGACGGAGGUGCUGGACAAUGAUGGGGGUGGCCUGGCCACCAUCUUUGAACCCUGAAUCAAGCUUUUGGGCAUCCUUCCUCGGCCUUUCUUGUCAUCUCUUCUUUCCCUUUGUAGCUAAUCUCUAGGCCCUUCUUGCACUGCCACCUCACUUUCCACCAUUGUCAGCCUGGAAAGAGAUCCAGGUCUGGAGCUGGAGAGAACAGGCCCUGUGCAGGACCAGAAGUAAUUAUACUAAAGUAUCAAGAAAGGGAGUUAGGGCUUAAACUAUUCUGUCUAGAUGUCCCAGAUAGUUCCCAUUCUACUUGGAGAUUUGGCUUUUCCAAGAAAAGCUAGAGCAGAGCAGCCCUUCUCCCACAAGCCCUCCCACCCCCGUGCAGCCACAUACCUGUACAGAAUGGUAACUAAGGGUGCUGUGCCCAACCCUGCGACUAGCAAGGCUCGCAGCAAGAGCACAGCCCUCAACUACUUGUGCCAGGGUUUCUCUUGGACCACUCCAACUCCCACUGAGCCCUUUUGCUGCUGGGCUGGCAGGAAACUUUCCCCACUCCCUAAGGGGCAUGUCUGGGUUAGGUGCUAAGUGCUGAAGAGAACUUGGUCAGUUCUCUCAACUUUGCUUUGGGCAAGAAUCUGCACCUGAUGGGAUCCAUGGUACAGGCUACUGCUAAACUUGGCACAGUAUCAAGUAUAGUACCUCCAAGGACCAGGGCUGGGCAGUCUUUAGUGCUAACAUCCCCUUUAGAGUUCACACAUCUUGCCCUUCCAUGAAUGACCCCUCAGUCUGGCCUCCCCAGCCUCAAGGUCCACUCAGGCGCAAGAGCCACAGUACCCUAGAUAGUGUCACAUGACACCAUUGUCAUCCAAGGAUAAUACAGACCAACUAGGCUACAUCUGUGAUGAGCAGCUAGCAAAGCCGCUGGUCUUCUCCUAGGACUAAGUCCAGGUGCCUUCCACAAUCUCAUGGUCUUUCAGGUCCCUGGUUACUUUUCUCAAAGGCCAUUUCCAAAAGAAUACAUGCCUUCGCAUCACAACCUGUACUGUGAGUCCAUUCUAGAGGUCACUGAAAGGCCCUGUAAACAGAGAGGACAUGGAUACAGGACCUGGCCCUGAGGUUAUUAUUGGCCGUAAGGCAGAGUUAAUCCAUACAGAAACCAGUGUGUCCAUGUGCUCUGCACAAAAACAGACCUGUUGUCCAUCCAGUCCACUGACAAGAGGGUUUCCACGAGAGCCGAAGUGGACUGAAGCUACAGUUUUUAGCUGGUGCGGGCCACAGGCAGGGUCAGAUUGAGAAGAAGCAAAGCUGGGGAAGCAGAAGUUGGAGUCUUGUGUUGCUCCCUCUUCCUGUGUGGUGCUCUGGGUUUCUGUGGAUCGUGAAGGCGAUCUCAAGAGUGUUUCCCUCCAAACCUGAUAGCUGCCUAUUCCUGUCUGGUUGGGGCUGUGGAGGGUGUAGUUGUAUUUAUUGCAUUGUAAUAUUUUUAACAUCCUGUGACUUCAUGCUAGAAAUUUUCUAUUGUUUAUAGAAACUUUUUGUAGAAACAUUAACUCUAAAGCACAUCUGCAUGUCAGUAAAAAUCUCAGUUUCGUACAG
rnacentral:sRNA from 1 species